rnacentral:rRNA from 1 species
CCUACGGGCGGCAGCAGUGGGGAAUAUUGCACAAUGGGGGAGACCCUGAUGCAGCGACGCCGCGUGAGUGAAGAAUUAUCUCGGUACGUUAAGCUCUAUCCGCAGAGAAGAAAAUGACGGUACCUGACUAAGAAGCCCCGGCUAACUACGUGCCUGCAGCCGCGGUAAUACGUAGGGGGCAAGCGUUAUCCGGAUUGACUGGGUUUAAAGGGAGAGUAGACGGCAGCACAAGACUGGAGUGAAAUCGCGGGGCUUAACCGCGGAACUGCUUUGGAAACUGUGAGGCUGGAGUGCAGGAGGGGUAAGCGGAAUUCGUAGUGUAGCGGUGAAAUGCGUAGAUAUUAGGAGGAACACCGGUGGCGAAGGCGGCUUACUGGACUGUAACUGACGUUGAGGCUCGAAAGCGUGGGGAGCAAACAGGAUUAGAUACCCGAGUAGUC